rnacentral:rRNA from 1 species
UACGGAGGGUGCGAGCGUUGUCCGGAAUCACUGGGCGUAAAGGGCGCGUAGGCGGCGCGGGUAGUCAUCGGUGAAAGUUCAGGGCUCAACUCUGAAUCGGCCGGUGAUACUCCCGUGCUCGAGCACUGUAGAGGCAGGUGGAAUUCCUGGUGUAGCGGUGGAAUGCGCAGAUAUCAGGAGGAACACCGGUGGCGAAGGCGGGUCUCUGGGCAGUAACUGACGCUGAGGAGCGAAAGCGUGGGGAGCGAACAGG